rnacentral:rRNA from 1 species
UGGCGGACGGGUGAGUAACGCGUGAGAAUCUACCUUCAGGACGGAGACAACAGUUGGAAACGACUGCUAAGCCCCGAUGUACUGAAAAGGCAAAUAUUUAUAGCCUGAAGAUGAGCUCGCGUCCGAUUAGCUAGUUGGCGGAGUAAAAGCCCACCAAGGCGACGAUCGGUAGCUGGUCUGAGAGGACGAUCAGCCACACUGGGACUGAGACACGGCCCAG